GCCCAAAUAAGCGAUCUAGCUUCUGUGCCUCCUAGUUCUGCAAGGCACAAGUCACCCGGGCAGAAGAGAAUCCUCAGAAGCAAGCACCAGACCUGUAGUUUUGUAGCAGACGCCUGCGGGAGUGGUUGGGCCUGUAUGUUCUCUUUGGGAACCUGAGCAGUCCUAGGCCCAGAUGGACUAGAAAUUCGAGAAAGUCCUCAGGGAGUGCAUUCCAGAGCUCUGAGGCAGCCACAGAGAAGGCCUGGCCCUGAGUCACCACCAGAUGAACUGGUGGCAACCAGAUGCAUUUCUACACAGCAUCAAAUUUUGAAUAAACUUUCCUG